CCUAACACAGCUUCCACUACACUGCUGACCCUCUAUAAGCCACUACACUAUAUCAGUCGAUGUACCAGCCUUGGUUCUGGAACAUGGUGGGCUGAUAUGGCCUUUUUUGCUGAUUGGCGGUCUACAAACAGGCCUACACCUUAAGAUGGGGACUGUGUCCUGCCGGUAGUGGGGGUUGACUGAACUAUGUCUGGGGGUUCCUC